rnacentral:lncRNA from 1 species
UCUAUGUAUGCUUAUUGACUAAUGUAUCAUCACACUUUAUUUUAUUCUAGCUUCCCUCUUAUGUGAGUCUCCCUUUGUUUUUUCUCAGAUUUUGGUGGGAUUUCUUUUUAUCUUGUAAACAGAUAUGUUAUUAAACCAAGAUACAAGUAGUGUGCAAUCCUUUGUAUGUAUUUCUCAAAAAGGAAAAUGCUUUUAGUUUGCUCUUUUAAUCAUUCAGACUACACUGAUUCAUUUACUCAUUUUCUUUCCUAGGCCUGACUGGGGUGGUUGAAUGAACUAAGAGCUCAGAUGAUGACUGUUGUAUAGAACAAGCUGUUUAUGAUGAUUACACAUGUAACCUUCAUAUUACUGAUCCCUGUGUCUACAGUAAUUACUGUCAUCAAAUUUAGAGUUAGACAUUGAGUUGUCAUUGUUAUUACUGUUGCUUAGGCAUGAAGAGGUGAAAGGUUCAUAGUAUAGAAAGCUUCAAACCAGAAUUUGCAGGCUCAGAUCUUAGUGUUUGCCUUAACGUGGUCUCUGCUUUCUUACCAUAUUCCAAACGUUUUCUUCACACCUGUCUAAUCACUGUUAUAACUGGUAAUUUCAAACAAACUCAAAAUAUACCUACAGUUACUGUUAAGGAGGAGACUAACAGAUGUUAAAACAGACAGCCAUCUAAUUGACAAUUGCUUUCUAAUCAAAGUAUUUUGAAAAUGAUUCUUCAUGGAGAAAAAAAUGGGCAAAUAUUUUUUAAAAGUAUAUACUUGUCUUGCAGAAACCUACAUAGUUUCUUACAUGAAUGCCAUAUUGUCAAAAUCUUUUCUUUAUAAUUAGCCCCUGAAACAGAGGUCCCCCUUCUUGGGUACAUGGAUGGGCUUCAAGGGUAAAAGUACCUGAGCUAUGUACAGUUUGUGUGUGAGUGUAUGUGUCUGUUCGUGUGUGUAUAAGUGUGCAUGUUUUCAUUAUUCUGGAGAAUGGCUCUAUAGUUCCCAUCAUAUUUUUCAAACAUCAACAUAGCAAAUGCCCCUCGUGUGCUCUUCCAAACCCCCUGAGCCCCACCUUGUACCUUGUCACUGCUCUGCACUGGUUUUCACCAGCUUUUUGCUUGUGCAACCUAAAAACAUUUCAUCUUAGGUCACACCUCUAUGUCUUUCAUUUUUCCCUGCCACCAUCAGUACCCCUCUGGCAUUCAGAUCCAUGGGCCACUGCUGACCAAUAGGUAUCAGGAGCGAACAGAACAAUGAUUCCCUGUUUUAUCUCCAAAGGAAAAGUUCUGAUUUCCAUGUCCUGACAUUUCUAAGAAGACCUUUUUAGGCUUCAUGCAUGACCAACUCAAAAUACAUUUUUGUGUCAGGCUUCUCUUUUUCCCUGCUUCACGCUCUCAUCCCACUCUUGCUUCCAGCAAACACAUUCUCAAAUAAGUGAUUGCCACACAAGCCUCUGUCACAAGCUAAGACACCUAAUGUCUUGGAAAGUCCUAAGGUCCACUAUCCAAGGACCUACACAAUUUCCCACUUGGGUACCAUAUAGUCCAAAUGUUUUGUUUAACAGGACCCAAUAACUGUGGCAUCUGAAUUUACCUAUAAUGUAUCCUUAGUGUGACCUAGUAAAAUCUCCUCUCUAAUUUAACUUUGAGGCUGUUUGUUUAUAAAAAGUCUGAAGUAAAUUUUCUCUCUGGGCUGGGCGCAGUGGCUCACGCCUGUAAUCCCAACACUUUGGCAAGCCAAGGCAGGUGGAUCACUUGAGUUCAGGAGUUUGAGACAAGCCUGGGCAACAUGGUGAAGCCCCAUCUCUACUAAAAAUACAAACAUUAGCUGGGCGUGGUGGUGGGCGCCUGUAGUCCCAGCUACUUGGGAGGCUGAGGCAGAAGAAUCAUUUGAACCCUGGAGGCAGAGGUUUCAGUGAGCUGAGAUUGUGCCACUGCACUCUAGCCUGGGUGACAGAGUGAGACUCCGUGUCAAAAAAAAAAAAAAAAGAAAAAGAAAAAAGAAAAUUUCUCUCUGAGUGACACAGAAAUACUCUAAUUAUCAUGACAUUGAGGAACCUAGUUUGUCUACAGUUCACCAUUGCCCAUGGCUUUUGCCUUAUUUCUCCAUAACCAGACUAUAUUCAUUCACUACUGCUUUAUUUAAAUAUGUCUCUUUAGGAAUGUGGUAAACAAAAUUAUGAGAUGAUGCCCAGCGACCCCAUACUCUUAUAUAACUCUCUCCCCUUCAGUGUAGGCAGGAUCUGUGGAUAUGAUGGAACAUCACUCCCUGAUUAUGCUUAUGGUGAAGAUACAAGGGUUUUGCAGAUGUUACCAAAGGCCCCCAUCAAUAGACCUUGAGUUGGUCACAGGGAGAUUAUCCUGGGUGGGUCUGAUUUAUCAGGUGAGCCCUUAAAAUAGGAUGUAGGGCUUUCCUGAGCUGAGAGACUCUCUCCUACUACUCUUGAAGAAGAAGUCAGUUUGAGUUUUACAGCUUCAAGUAAAUGAAUUGUGCCAACAACUCUGUGAGUUUGGAAGAGGAUCCUGAGCUUAGACGAGACUGUGCCUUGGCCAACAUUGAUUGCAGCUUUGUGAGACCCUGAGGAGAGAACCCAGCUAGGCUCUACCCAGACUCCUGACCCACAGAAACUAUGAGAUAAUAACUGUGUUGCUUUAAGCUAUUAAGUUUGUAGCAACUAGCUACAUGGCAAUAGAAAACUAAUACAUUGCACUUGUCACAUAAUUUUUGUUUACAUUAAUGCUUCCUGCUAGGCAAAACAUUCCUAAAGGGCAUGACUGUGUUCUUUUUAUCUUGGUUUCACCAAUAUCUAGCAAAAUGCUUAUGUAUAGUAAAUAUUUAAUAAACCUUUAGUUAAUAAAUGACUGAUGAUUAACAUUCUGAAAUGAAAAGAACAAAAAUAUCCAUUUAGAUCUUUGUAGUGCCUUUUCAUAUUAACUCUUUGAAAUUUCAAAUCUCAGCAUGUCUUGGAAAAUUGUAUAAAGUACUUUCAGUUUUCAAACUUCUUUCAUGUAUGUAAUAUUAUUUUGAGCUGCGCUAAUAUUACCCAUGGCAAACGAAGGUGCUAGAUCCCUGGGGGCCUUGACAAUUUCAAGAAACAUCCCCAGGCCAUACUUUAGUUCUAUAGGAUUGCUCACCAAAAUUAAUGGAGCAGAUCUUUACAGAAAUCUAAGACUGUGGUGUGACCUUGCCAAAUUGGUGUCAGGUGCUCAAGAUGGAAAACUGAAGGAAAUUUAAAUCUUGAACAUAAAUUUCUUAGUCUUAAAAAGGGAUAAAACAGCAUACAUAAGUCUACCAUACUGAAUUUUCCAGAUAUUAAUGUUUAAUGCUUAAUCUCUCUGCAUAGCUCAGGAACUAUUGAAUGAAUUAAUAUUUCUAAUGCAC